rnacentral:rRNA from 1 species
UACGGAGGAUGCGAGCGUUAUCCGGAUUUAUUGGGUUUAAAGGGUGCGUAGGCGGGCACUUAAGCCGGCGGUCAAAUCGUGGGGCUCAACCCCAUCCAGCCGUUGAAACUGGGGAUCUAGAGUGUGCGAGAGGUAUGCGGAAUGCGUGGUGUAGCGGUGAAAUGCAUAGAUAUCACGCAGAACCCCGAUUGCGAAGGCAGCAUACCGGUGCACAACUGACGCUCAGGCACGAGAGCGUGGGUAGCGAACAGG